GAAAUAUAUAAAUAUUUAAUUAUAUAUAAAUAUAUAAAUAAAUGAAAUGUUAUAGAUAUCGGUAAAUAAAUAAUAAAUUAAUAAUCAAUAAAUAAAUCAAUACAUAAAAAAUAUAUAAAUAUAUAUAUCAAAUAAAUAAUUAAUAAAUUAAAAAUUCCUGAUAUAUAAAUAAAUCAAUAAUUAUAAAUAUUAUAAAUAUUAAAUUGAAAUUUAUUAUUCAAUAUUUUAAUAGAUGUGAUUGUAAAAUGGUUUACAGCGGCAGCCAAUCAGAAAAACACUAGACGAGCUAUGAGGCACGACGCGGCAUCAGUCUUCUGUGGAAAGUCAAUGGAGUAGGACGUACGAUCGCAACCGUCUUCGAUAAUUUGAUUCUAUAUUUUGAUUUUCAUUUGGGUAAAUUAUCGAAAUGGCUUCGAAGGAAAUAUGAUUUAUAAUCUGUGUCACGAUAAUUUCUAGCUAAUGAUUUUAAUAUUUCAUUUCUUUGUAUUUAUUUAGAAUAAAUUUUUUAUAAACUUUUUAUCUGUAUCGAAUAAAUAUAAUAAAGUUAAUUUUAUCUUAUUAAAUUAAAUUAUAAUAUAUAUUGCAUUUCAA